rnacentral:rRNA from 1 species
AGAGUUUGAUCCUGGCUCAGGACGAACGCUGGCGGCGUGCCUAACACAUGCAAGUCGAACGCCGGAAGUCAGAUGACAGAGGCCAGAAGUCAGAAAGGGAAUCCCCCAAUCUGGCAUCCGGUUUCUGACAUCUGACAACUGGAGUGGCGGACGGGUGAGUAACGCGUGGGUAACCUACCCAUAAACCCGGGACAACCCUUGGAAACGAGGGCUAAUACCGGAUAUUCUAUCAUGGUGGCAUCAUCGAGAUAGGAAAGGUGGCCUCUGAAUAUGCUACCGAUUAUGGAUGGACCCGCGUCUGAUUAGCUAGUUGGUAGGGUAAUGGCCUACCAAGGCGACGAUCAGUAGCCGGCCUGAGAGGGUGAACGGCCACACUGGGACUGAGACACGGCCCAGACUCCUACGGGAGGCAGCAGUGGGGAAUCUUCCGCAAUGGACGAAAGUCUGACGGAGCAACGCCGCGUGUAUGAAGAAGGCCUUCGGGUUGUAAAGUACUGUCUUUGGGGAAGAAUGGUAUUUUUGAAAAUAUUGAGAAUACAUGACGGUACCCAAGGAGGAAGCCCCGGCUAACUACGUGCCAGCAGCCGCGGU